rnacentral:misc_RNA from 1 species
AGGUGAACCUGCGGAAGGAUCAUUAGAAAUUGCCGGCAUAGCCGGUCAACAUUCUAUCCACCUUGUGUGCAAACAAUGAAAGAGAGAGAGAAAAUGGGAACCAAGAAUACUCUUCUUUGAGGAGUGUUUUUGCCCACCUUCUCUAUUAUUUUUAUAAACACCAUCAAAUUUUAAAUUGAAACAAUUUUAAUAAUAAUAAAAAAUUUUAUACAACUUUCAACAACGGAUCUCUUGGCUCUCG